rnacentral:rRNA from 1 species
GGAUAGCCGCCCGAAAGGACGGGUAAUACCGGAUACCCCCGGGCGCCGCAUGGCGCCCGGGCUAAAGCCCCGACGGGAGGGGAUGGCUCCGCGGCCCAUCAGGUAGACGGCGGGGUGACGGCCCACCGUGCCGACAACGGGUAGCCGGGUUGAGAGACCGACCGGCCAGAUUGGGACUGAGACACGGCCCAGACUCCUACGGGAGGCAGCAGUGGGGAAUCUUGCGCAAUGGGGGGAACCCUGACGCAGCGACGCCGCGUGCGGGACGGAGGCCUUCGGGUCGUAAACCGCUUUCAGCAGGGAAGAGUCAAGACUGUACCUGCAGAAGAAGCCCCGGCUAACUACGUGCCAGCAGCCGCGGUAAUACGUAGGGGGCGAGCGUUAUCCGGAUUCAUUGGGCGUAAAGCGCGCGUAGGCGGCCCGGCAGGCCGGGGGUCGAAGCGGGGGGCUCAACCCCCCGAAGCCCCCGGAACCUCCGCGGCUUGGGUCCGGUAGGGGAGGGUGGAACACCCGGUGUAGCGGUGGAAUGCGCAGAUAUCGGGUGGAACACCGGUGGCGAAGGCGGCCCUCUGGGCCGAGACCGACGCUGAGGCGCGAAAGCUGGGGGAGCGAACAGGAUUAGAUACCCUGGUAGUCCCAGCCGUAAACGAUGGACGCUAGGUGCGGGGGGACGAUCCCCCCGUGCCGCAG